CAGGGCAUAGCGGGAUUUCUUGUAAGCUUCCUGGUUAGUCCCGCACCUUGAAAGCGGCAGCUCUACCCUUUAGCUCAGUGCGAAUGUUUGCUGUAAUCCAUGGCUUCUGGUUGGGCUAUGUACGUACAGUCACUGUGGGGACGACGUCCUCAAUGCACUUAUUGAUAAAGCCAGUGACUGAUGUGGUGUAUUCCUCAAUGUCAUCGGAAGAAUCCCGGAACAUGUUCCAGUCUGUGAUAGCAAAACAGUCCUGUAGUUUAGCAUCUGCUUCAUUUGACCAUUUUCUUUCACCUGCUAUACAUUAAGAUUUUAAACUUCAGACAGAGAAAAGGUUAAUUUUAUAUUUCAUGCCUAUUGAUGAAAUUAUAAUUUAGUGAAGUAGCGUUACUUAAAGAGCAACUGAAGGCAAUAAACAACUUCUAUUCUAUUCUCUGGUAGAAAAUGGCCUAUGUCUCAAAGCAACUAUACAUGAAUGAAAUGUAAGCAUUUCAUGAGACACCUAUUAAAGAUGUGUAACAUGAAAAUAUUGUCCCAUUUACAAUGUGUAAUUUAUUGACGGUCGCUAACUAGCCCCAGAGAUAGGUUAUCCAAAGUCACAACAAUUUUGACACUGUCCCACACCAGCCGGCAAAGAAGUUGGAUAGCUUGCUAGCUAAUUUAGGCUUCUUCCAGACACAAGAACUUGUUCGACUGUUUCAAGUUAUCUCAAAGGGUGUGUACUGUUUUGGCAGAGUGUAAGUACAAAUGCUUCCCACGUCGGAAAACACAACAGACACCCACAUCAAAGAGCGCCAAGACCCAAAACUUGUUAAGUUUCAUUUCCAAAUGAGGAGAAUUGAAACCAGGACUUGAUCAGGAAGUUCAGCCCUCUUUAAGAAAACAAUAGACAUACUUGGAACACAAGGAGGUUGGGGGCACCUUAAUUGGGGAGGAUGGGCUUGUGGUAAGGACUGGAGCGGAAUGGUAUGUGUUUGAUGCCAUUCCAUUAGCUCCAUUCCAGCCAUUAUUAUGAGCCAUCCUCCCCUCUGCAGCCUCCUCAGACUUGGAAAGCAUACUCUUUCUGUAUUGAAUAUUGUAUUGAAUAUGAAUAUGUAUUUUGUAUUUAUUUGUUUAAUUCCAAAUAUAAGUAUUUUAAUUAAUUCAAAGUAGAUUUUUUUUACAAGGUAAAUAUGAUACUAUCAAAGACACAAUGCAAGAUUUUUUCUGAAAACGGCCUAGGUCCACUAUGGUGACCUCGGAAACUGCAAAAUAAACUAAAUGGAGAAACAUAUGGAAUACAUGUUAACAACACAUUCAUUACACGUCCUUUACAUAGUUAUUGUCGGUAUUAGAUAGAACGUUGCGCCCCUGCCUGCCUGUGGGGAAAACAACUUGUGGUUACCUUUUUCAAAUGUAAUUUUCUUGUUGCCUGCUUGUUUUAAUCUAUUACAAAACUACAUUUAAGAAAAGUACAACGUCUAAAGAUUACUUUUCAACAUUGCCUGUGAUGGGGGUCACCUUGGUGUCAUGAUAGGGGCUGCACCAAAUGAUUGAUGUAUUAUAAUAAUUGAUUAUGCUUAUGUUGUAUUAAUAGAAGGGGAAGGGCUAUAAGACCCUCCCCCACUACAUUUAUAGGGUCUUGGACCACAGAUUAGCAAUAUAUGCAUUAUAAGGUUUAAUACUGUUCCACAGUUCUUUUCUAGUCUCUGCCUCUUAUACGAAACGGUCUGAGCAGAUGUGUGAGCCAUUGCAGUUAAAACAGGGUGUCUGUGAGAAAGCGCCUCAAGCCUAAAAGAGAUACAUAGACAUAGACCCCUGCAAGGGAGUAAAUAGAUAAGAGAGAAGUCAGACAUACCACUUUAAGCCACACGUGAAUGGAAAAUUACUGCUGAGCCCUUAGAGAAGACUGGACUAUUGUUUUCUCCUGCAAGUUUGUAUAACUGUAUAUGCAUGGGCUUGGUCUCAUGAGUAGAAGGUGUUGACGUAGGCAGUUACACCACUAGGGGUUGACUGCAAGUAUAUUAAAGCAACUUUGACCUUUUUUACUUUGCAGAACUAACUCUGAAACAGAAGUUUCCAUUGUCAACUUCUGUCUGCAAUUGCAUUAAUAAAGGUUUGAUUGAUUUACUUACCAA